ACCUACGGUCGCACCAGACUGAACAUGCCCGAUCCCAUCCAAUCUCGGAAGCUAAGCAGUCCUGGGCCCAGGUAGUACCUGGAUGGGAGACCACCUGGAAAUCCCGGGUGCCGUAGGCU
rnacentral:rRNA from 1 species